UUUUUGCUUUGAGAUAAUAGUGAAAAAGUAUGAGAUAUUUUUAACCAUCACUCUUCUAGCCGGGUACCAUUUUAAGUUUUCCUUAAAUUAAUUGAUUAUUGAGUAUAGUGCUUGCAAAUUUUUUAGGUGAUAUCUAAGGAAUUUAGAGAAAGUGUUAGGAAAAAGAUCCUUGUGGUGAGUUAGCUGAGAUUUUGAUAAGGAAGAGUAGCAUAUGUUUGGGCUUCCGCUGGGAUGUGCGCAUGAGUGAAGUUUAGGAAAUCAAUGGAAUAAGUUUUGAACUUUUAUGUUUUAAGAUUACCUUUUGUGUAAUCCUUCAGACUUAAAGGAUUUAGUUUAUUUUUAUUUGAUGUUGGAAGAUUAUUAAUUGGAGAUCUUUUGAGAAUUUCUUUAUUGAGGAUAUUCUUAAAUUUAUUGAUGAAA